UUUUCUAUCUUCGUUCUCGUUCCUCUCUGUAGCGAGUGUAAAAGUCUCUCCGCUCCGCAAGCUCUCUCGUUUCGUUGGUUGGUUGGUGGUGGACCAGGAUUCUUCUAAAACUAGUUUCUGAUGUUUUUAUUUCAAUCUAUGAUCUAUUUGAUUUUCAAACUUGCUUAUUUUUUUUUCUAGGGUUUGAUUUCUAACUUGUUGUUCUGUUCGUUUUCAGGGCAGGGGUUUUAAGGAUGAUGCUUUUAUCAGUCGAUGGAUUUGAUGGAAACGUUUCUUCUCUGUGCCACGUCUUCAGGGGUUUUGUUCCUCUGACUCUCUAGUACAGCAUCUUCACUCGUUCGUUUCGUUGGUGGUUUUGGAUUAUUUCAGGUAUUGGAUGAUGCUUUGAUCGAUCAGUGAUGGCUUUGAUGGACUCCUUCUUCUCUGUGCUCUACGUCUUCAUGGAUCGAGGAGGCACCUGGAUUACUGACUGUUUGGGAUGUUCAAAGAGAAAACAUUGUGGGAGUUUAACUUUCAGAUGUUUUUGCCGUGUACACACACAUUCAGAUGAGAGAUGCUCCACAAAUUCUUUCCUAGACGAGAGGAGAGUUUGUUUUAAGCUUUGUCCUUUGAUGCAGAUCCUCGAGGCAAUGGUGGUGUGUUGGAAGUGAAUCAUGGAGGCUCCUCGGCUCUUCCUACGAUCGUCGUCACAGUCCAGGGCAGGCACUAGGAUUGCUUUGUUGAAUUGAACUUUAUCUUCUCGUCUAGAAUCAGCUGUACUUGAUGGAGCUAAACAAGCUUUGUUGGAGAUGGUUAUAUUACCGGCAAGACGAAGAGAUUUGUUCACUGGUAUCCGGAGACCAGCGAGAGGUAGAAAAUUCAUUUCAGGUAGGUGAAGGUGAAUAGCUAGUUUCUCUGGUGAUUGACAUUGGGCUUGUCUCGUGUCUGAUGCUAACCAGGAGGCAACAAUCCGGUUAGAUGGCUUCAGAUGCAGAGCUCUCUACGCACCUGGACCUGAAGUCGCAUCUGCAGGAGUUAAUUCCGGAACAGCAGGGGGAACAAUCUUUGCUCAUCAAGUCAGUUAGAUGGCCUCAGAUGCAGAGCUCUACCGACCUGGCUAGUGCAAAGUUUGUUGUUGAAGAAGGAAGAAUCAGAAUUCUAGCUGGUUUGGCAAAGUCAAUCAACUGACAUGUGGCUGACGAAGCUGCUGGUGGACUAUGGAAUCUCUCUGUCGGAGAAGAGCAUAAGGGAGAUCAUCAUAAAGACUAGACACCAUGUUGAACUUCAAUGAAACGUAAUACGUUCUGUGAUUUAGUACAGAUCUCGACAGAUCCAGCUUUGCCUCCACCACAAAGAAGUACACCACAUACAUCUGCUAGACUUUUCAGGAAUUUAAUCUUCAAGCAGUGAAAAGGGCUAACCAACAUGCAUAAACCAUCUUCAAUAGCUUCACCAAUAAUAAUUGGAGGCCUCACUUUACCGAACCAAGGACCCUUGUAGCCCUAUGAACAAAAAGAUAUGGAGAAAAGAUGAAAAGUUGUCUGAUGAUGAAUCCAUUGCACUUUGGCCACAAAAUCAGUCUCAAGCCAAAGGCAAUCGUUUGAAAAAUGUGAAAAGGGAAACGAGUAUUGCUCUGACCUGCUUCAAGAUCCUUCAUUUGAAUUCACUCACGACUCCUGCCAAUGGCUUGAAUGAAUGCUUGACUACAACGUACGUGGCAGUGAUAGAUAGGAGGAGCCUCUCAGACAUUUUGUUCUGUUUUUAUAUUUAUUUCUGCAGGGAAGCUCUAUCGUGGUCUCUCUGAUCCAUGUAUGCCAAAAGGAAAGUUACUAAGGUACCACACCGUGCUCUUUUGGUGUUUCAAGAAGUCUUGGCAUCUGCUCUCAGGUAUCAAACGGGUUUUUAGAAGAUCGAUCAAAAGCUAGAAUUAGCCAGACAAACUUGGAGCGAUUGAAAUUCGAAUGAACAGAAACCAAAAAUCACAAUCAAGAUGGAACGAGCUUAACAGGUAAUAAACGAACUGAAGAAAUCGAAACCUGUUGUAGAAGACCGAAAGAGCUGCUCUUCGGGUUCAUUCACCCUCUUCUUGUUUUGGUAAUAAAACUAAUCAAAUAGUAAUCACUGCUUCUGUUGAUUAGCGACAGUUUGGUAACUUUGAACAGAAGGAGAAAAGACGGAGGAUCAAGGAAGUGACAUCGUUAUCAAGAAAACAAAUUUCACAUACAUAAAUCACAGAGAAUUUAAGUUAUCACUUCGAAACGAAUCUACGAUUUUUACGUAUGGACCUAAUAUUAAUUAUCACAUGUUAAAUAUGGUUUUAAUGAUUUUUAACUUCGAAUGAUUAUCUGCAUUAUGGUUGAGACUUGAGAUGGUCAAGUUAGUUAGUCGAUCAUUUUCUCCUCUUCUAUAUCAUGGUUGUACACAUGUAUGAUGUGUGCUCAUUUCUAAAAUUAGUAUCAACUUGUGCCUUCAUUAAUUUCAACAUUAUGUAAUUUUCAAAUAUCUUUUAAUUCAAAAAAAAAGAUAGUAACAUUUAGAAUAUCUAUAGAGUUUUUCCACUAGCCAACC